AUUGAACGCUGGCGGCAUGCCUUACACAUGCAAGUCGAACGGUAACAGGUCUUCGGAUGCUGACGAGUGGCGAACGGGUGAGUAAUACAUCGGAACGUGCCCGAUCGUGGGGGAUAACGAAGCGAAAGCUUUGCUAAUACCGCAUACGAUCUACGGAUGAAAGCAGGGGACCGCAAGGCCUUGCGCGAACGGAGCGGCCGAUGGCAGAUUAGGUAGUGGGUGGGAUAAAAGCUUACCAAGCCGACGAUCUGUAGCUGGUCUGAGAGGACGACCAGCCACACUGGGACUGAGACACGGCCCAGACUCCUACGGGAGGCAGCAGUGGGGAAUUUUGGACAAUGGGCGAAAGCCUGAUCCAGCCAUGCCGCGUGCAGGAUGAAGGCCUUCGGGUUGUAAACUGCUUUUGUACGGAACGAAAAGACUCUGGUUAAUACCUGGGGUCCAUGACGGUACCGGAAGAAUAAGCACCGGCUAACUACGUG
rnacentral:rRNA from 1 species